GAUGAAGAACGCAGCGAAAUGCGAUAAGUAGUGUGAAUUGCAGAAUUCAGUGAAUAAUCGAAUCUUUGAACGCACAUUGCGCCCUUUGGUAUUCCUUAGGGCAUGCCUGUUCGAGCGUCAUUUAAACCUUCAAGCUAAGCUUGGUGUUGGGUGACUGUCCGCUUCACGGCGGACUCGCCUCAAAAUUAUUGGCGGCCGGUACAUUGGCUUCGAGCGCAGCAGAAACGCGAACUCGGGCCCGUCGUAUUGGCUCCCAGAAGCUAUCUUCACAAUUUUGACCUCGGAUCAGGUAGGGAUACCCGCUGAACUUAAGCAUAUCAAUAAGCGGAGGA
rnacentral:misc_RNA from 1 species